UACGUAGGUGGCAAGCGUUAUCCGGAUUUACUGGGUGUAAAGGGCGUGUAGGCGGGAAAGCAAGUCAGAUGUGAAAACCACGGGCUCAACCUGUGGCCUGCGUUUGAAACUGUUUUUCUUGAGUACUGGAGAGGCAGACGGAAUUCCUCGUGUAGCGGUGAAAUGCGUAGAUAUGAGGUGGAACACCAGUGGCGAAGGCGGUCUGCUGGACAGCAACUGACGCUGAGGCGCGAAAGCGUGGGGAGCAAACAGG
rnacentral:rRNA from 1 species